GUUGCGGUGUCCGAGUGGUUAAGGAGAUGGACUUGAAAUCCAUUGGGUUCUACCCGCGCAGGUUCGAAUCCUGUCCGCAGCG
ensembl:tRNA tRNA:Ser-TGA-2-1 transfer RNA:Serine-TGA 2-1